rnacentral:lncRNA from 1 species
UAGGCGCAUUUGUACUACUCGCUCAUCGAUAUGUACAUGCAUUUAUGAUUGUAGAAAUUCCUUUCAGAACAUUCUAGACAGGCUCAUGUCUGCGUUGUACUUAAUGGAACCAUUUGGUAUCAACCAUGAACCCAAUCAGGCCAGAAGAUUGAGCACACAUCGUGCUCCGUCAUUGUUCCAUGAAGAAGGGACCUUGAGAGACUAUGAAUGGCGUUUCACUCGAGAUAGGGACUGCCAAAUCUGGCCAUUGCCAUUCUCCGGACCCUACGGCGUUCCGUUGUUCAUACCAUACAUAGCCCCGACGCCAACAACACCAAGCGCUCCAUAAUUGGCAACUGUCUCCCAUUCAUAAGUGGACAUAUCGAACUGAAGUAAGGCGGUGAGGUGUUGGAACCGAUGGCGUACAGAAAAUUUAUCCCAAGCAUUUCUCUAUUGGGUACUGGUGGCCAAUCCGAACAGCUGCGGAGCUCGACUCAACAGAUCAACUCAAUAAGGCAGCAUCCAAGCUCCCCGCAAGAUUGCAGGAAGGGAGGUGAAUGAUUUCAGCUCUCGGAUACUCAAGUCUACCAAAUCCUGGAGCACCCAGCUUGAGGCCGUUACGCUGGAGAACAGAUUAGUGGCUGCUUUGACAGUCCUACAGUGACGACCCAAGACUGUCACAGAUGCUUCGCACUGGCUUUGACAAUGGUAGUUGCGGCAAUAAAACCGAUGGUAAUGCGGUUUAAAGUGACGGCAAAAAAGAGGGGAGAGUAUGCUGCCUAAAGCGCUAUACCGAUAUUUCUUCAAUCUCCAUCAAUAUCUGCGGACGGUCAGCGGAACUCUUCGCAUCAGAUUGUGCAAUGAAUAGCAAUCACCUUCUCAAUAUAUCGUACUCCAACAACAAUCCCGUCUUGAUCCUCCAAUUCUGCUGUAGUGCCAAAUAAAUUGGUCUCCUCUGGGUCAAGGCAACGUAAACAAGAAAUCACUAUAUUGGUAUACCUU